GGCGGAAGGGUGAGUACCACGUAGGAGACCUACCUCCCCGCAGGGGACAACCUGGCGAAAGCGAGGCUAAUACCCAGAAGGCUCGCGCGUUCGGUCGCGCGAACAGAGUCCGCAAGGACGUGGAGAGAGGGUCCUGCGCCCCAUCAGCUAGUUGGUAGGGUAGCGGCCUACCAAGGCAACGACGGGUAGGGGGUCUGAGAGGACGAUCCCCCACACUGGAACUGAAACACGGUCCAGACGCCUACGGGUGGCAGCAGGGAGGAAUAUUGCACAAUGGGCGACAGCCCGAUGCAGCAACGCCGCGUGGAGGACGAAGGCCUUCGGGUCGUAAACUCCUUUGGAGGGAGACGAGCAAGGACGGUAUCCCUCGAACAAGCCCCGGCUAACUACGUGCCAGCAGCCGCG
rnacentral:rRNA from 1 species